GUGGCAGCAGCCGCGGUAAUACGAAGGGGGCUAGCGUUGUUCGGAUUUACUGGGCGUAAAGCGCACGUAGGCGGAUUUUUAAGUCAGAGGUGAAAUCCCAAGGCUCAACCUUGGAACUGCCUUUGAUACUGGGAGUCUAGAGUCCGGGAGAGGUGAGUGGAACUGCGAGUGUAGAGGUGAAAUUCGUAGAUAUUCGCAAGAACACCAGUGGCGAAGGCGGCUCACUGGCCCGGUACUGACGCUGAGGUGCGAAAGCGUGGGGAGCAAACAGGAUUAGAUACCCCAGUAGUC
rnacentral:rRNA from 1 species